AUGGAUGAUGAUUUUGCUGCAGCCGAAGCUGAGCAGCUUGAAGAGGUCCUCCGACUCUCGGCUCAGUCCGCAACAAUGGCAUGUGCGGUUUGCAGACUGAUGACAGUAUCACUGGAAGCGUCAUGGAAACCUGAGAAUUGUGAUCAUGUCAUCUGUAUUGACUGCUUCGCCAAAUACACAACAGAGACAGUGGCCACAGAGAUGCCAAAGUGCCCGGUUGCUUCUUGCAAAUAUCAUGUCGAUCCAGAGAUACAUGAAUUUAUGGAAGUAGACGAUGAUGGCAGCCUGAUCGCAAUCAAAGAGAUUGACGAUGGCAAAGGGAAGGAGCAUCCCUAUAAUGGGCUGGAAGAAUUCGGGCAAGGUUCUGGCAGCGGCACGAUGAUGUGUGCGGUUUGCAGGCUGAUGAUCGUAUCGCUGGAAGCAUCGUGGAAGCCUGAAAACUGCGAUCAUAUCAUCUGCAUCACCUGCUUCGCCAGAUACACAACCGAGACUAUGGCCACCGAGAUGCCCAAGUGUCCGAUUACUUCUUGUGAUUCUCUGUUGAAGCCAGACACACCACAAGUGAUCAAUAUGGACGAUGAUGGUGAUGCUGGCAGCUCGUCAUCGACCAGAGUGAUAGACAAAGGCAAGCAACCGUGCAACGACGUGCUGCAAGAGCUCGGCCAAUGUUCCAGCGGCACAACAAUGGCCAACGACUUCUACUGCACCAUCUGCAUGGAGGAAGUGCCUGCCAUAGAAUGCUUCCCGGUGGACGGGUGCACGCACGCGUUCUGCGUCAGCUGCGUGAGGCAGUACAUUGCGGCGAAGGUGGAAGAGAACGUGCUGCCCAUCAGGUGCCCCGACCUGGGCUGCGAGGACGGCACGCUGCAACCGGAGGCCUGCCGGGACGUGAUCCCGACGCCGCUGUUCCAGCGGUGGGGCGCCGCGCUCUGCGACAUGGCGCUCGAGGGGAUCAAGUUCUACUGCCCCUUCAACGACUGCUCGACGACCACCAGGACGGGGACGCGGUGA
rnacentral:rRNA from 1 species